UCUGAGAUGUGACGAGGUUUGAGGACUUACCUCUGAGAUGUGAUGAGGUUUGAGGACUUACCUCUGAGAUGUGAUGAGGUUUGAAGACUUAUCUCUGAGAUGUGGUGAGGUUUGAGGACUAUUUCUAACACGCCUGGCCAUGCUUCUUGUAUACCGACUGACAGACCAUACGAACAGGCGAUUACCCAGAAUACACCAUUCCUAUGUAAUAAAGUAACUACUUUUUACGUCACAAUUAUUAAUAUAAACAUUAAAGGAAAAAUAAGCGAUAUCUUCAUAUAUUAACAAAAGAAACCCAAAAAGAAACAAAAAAAACAAAACAAGAAUAAAAAAACAAAGAACAAAAAUUAUCAGUUAAAAUAUCUAAGAACGUCCAUACCACAGGGACUUUGCGCGAAUUCCCAAUCCAAGGUCCAUAUGUACUGUUUGUAAUAUAAAUAGUGGCUCGUUAGGGUCAAAUAUCAAAUCUCGCAUUCUUGCAAUCGUCGCGAUUUCGCUCCCUCGCCGUCGCGACCUCGGGUCGAAAACGCAAGAAUGCGAAAACGCUACGGCGAGGGAGCAAAAUCGCGACGGCGAGAGUGCGAAAUUAAUCUCGCGUUUUCGCAUUCUCGCAUUUUCACUCUCUUGCCGUCGAGUUUUUGCAUUCUCGCAUUUUCGCUCUCUCGCCGUCGAGUUUUCGCAAUCUCGCAUUUUCGACCUAAAGUCGAGAGAGCGAGAAUGCGAGAUUUGAUAUCUGGCCAUAACGAGCCACCAUAUACAUGCAUACAUAUAUAUGGACCGCAGGUUUUUGUGUCAUGAGGCCUCUCUCAAAUUAUAUGCAUGCCUAACAUUCCUAUCUCAGAACGAGGCUAAGUGAGUACAGCCACCGUAGCAACGCAUACACAAUGGCUUCCAGUCAAGCUACAUGUAGCAAAAACAACGUUAUUGUGCACCAAAUUGUGUAUCCAAUGGAAGUUAUGGUGAUUCUAUUCAUUUUCACCAUAUUCCAAAAGAUGAGGAUAUCAAAAAGCAGUGGGUUGUAAAAAUAAGAAGUGAUGAAGGGCCAUUAUUCAAGGUAUUAAAGUCACCAGUCGUUUGUUCCAAACACUUUAGGCAAGAUGACUAUAAAAGCUGGACACCUGUGAGGAAGCUUUUAAAGCCAGGAGCCAUUACAUCAGUAUUUAAUUGGAAUGAUAACCCAAAGACCAGGCGAAUUUUGAAAAGGAAAGGUUGGGUGGACAUGGAGAGGAGGGAUAGUCUGUAGAUAAAGGGAGACAACUAGUUGGGUGGACUGGGGUUGUCUAGAUCUAGAUGACAAACGUUUUAUGCAUUGGUUAUCUGUAUCAAAAGUGAACGACACAAAAUAAAUGCAUUGAUAUAUUUACAUUGAUUUGA